rnacentral:tRNA from 2 species
AGCCUCGUGGUGUAAUGGUAGCACUAAGGAUUCUGGUUCCUUCUGUCGGGGUUCGAGUCCCUGCGAGGCUGCCA